rnacentral:rRNA from 1 species
AUGCCUUUUGGUUUAACUAAUGCACCUAGUACUUUCAUGAGAUUAAUGAACGAAGUUUUACGUGCUUUCAUUGGACGAUUUGUGGUAGUUUACUUUGAUGACAUAUUGAUUUAUAGCAGAUCUUUGGAGGAACAUUUGGAACAUUUAUAUGAUGUUUUUAUUGCUCUACGUGAUGCACGUUUGUUUGGUAACCUUGGGAAGUGCACCUUUUGCACCGACCGAGUAUCUUUUCUUGGCUAUGUUGUUACUCCACAGGGAAUUGAAGUUGAUAAAUCCAAGAUUGAAGCUACUGAGAGUUGGCCGCAGCCCAAAACGGUCACACAAAUUCUUGAUUUUAAUAAGACUUUU